UAUCACGUUGAAACACCGGUUCUCGUCCGAUCACCGAAGUUAAGCAACGAUGAGCCUGGUCAGUACUUAGAUAUGUAAUCGCUAGGAGAUACCAGUCACUGUAA